rnacentral:rRNA from 1 species
GCUCAGUAACACGUGGAGAACGUGCCCUUAAGUGGGGGAUAAUCUCGGGAAAUUGAGGAUAAUACCCCAUAGAUCAUGGGAUCUGGAAUGACCCAUGGUUCAAAGUUCCGGCGCUUAAGGAUCGCUCUGCGGCCUAUCAGGUAGUAGUGGGUGUAAAGUACCCCCUAGCCUACGACGGGUAUGGGCCUUGAGAGAGGGAGCCCAGAGUUGGAUUCUGAGACACGAAUCCAGGCCCUACGGGGCGCAGCAGUCGCGAAAACUUCACACUGGGGGGAACCCCGAUGAGGGAAAUCCUAGUGCUAGGACAUUUGUUCUAGCUUUUCUCAAGCGUAGAUAACUUGAGGAAUAAGGGCUGGGUAAGACGGGUGCCAGCCGCCGCGGUAAUACCUGCAGCCCAAGUGGUGGUCGAUUUUAUUGAGUCUAAAACGUUCGUAGCCGGUUCAUUAAAUCCUUGGGUAAAUCGGAUGGCUUAACUAUCCGAAUUCCGGGGAGACUGGUGAACUUGGGACCGGGAGAGGCAAGAGGUACUUUUGGGGUAGGGGUAAAAUCCUGUAAUCCUAAAAGGACCACCGGUGGCGAAGGCGUCUUGCUAGAACGGAUCCGACGGUGAGGGACGAAGCCCUGGGUCGCAAACGGGAUUAGAUACCCCGGUAGUCCAGGGUGUAAACGCUGCAGACUUGGCGUUGGGGACCCUUCGGGGGUGUUCAGUGCCGGAGAGAAGUUGUUAAGUCUGCUACUUGGGGAGUACGUCCGCAAGGAUGAAACUUAAAGGAAUUGGCGGGGGAGCAC